CGGCGAGUGAAGCGGGAAGAGCUCAAAUUUGAAAUCUGGUAGCCUUCGGUUGCCCGAGUUGUAAUCUAGAGAAGUGUUUUCCGUGCCGGCCCAUGUACAAGUCCCUUGGAACAGGGCGUCAUAGAGGGUGAGAAUCCCGUCCUUGACAUGGACCCCCGGUGCUUUGUGAUACACUUUCAACGAGUCGAGUUGUUUGGGAAUGCAGCUCAAAAUGGGUGGUGAAUUCCAUCUAAAGCUAAAUAUUGGCGAGAGACCGAUAGCGAACAAGUACCGUGAGGGAAAGAUGAAAAGCACUUUGGAAAGAGAGUUAAACAGUACGUGAAAUUGUUGAAAGGGAAACGAUUGAAGUCAGUCAUGCUCUUAGGAUUCAGCCGUUCUGCGGUGUAUUUCCUUUGAGUGGGGUCAACAUCAGUUUUGAUCGAUGGAUAAAGGCACGAGGAAGGUAGCACUCUCGGGUGAACUUAUAGCCUCGCGUCAUAUACAUUGAUUGGGACUGAGGAACGCAGCAUGCCUUUAUGGCCGGGAUUCGUCCACGUACAUGCUUAGGAUGUUGACAUAAUGGCUUUAAACGACCCGUCUUG
rnacentral:rRNA from 1 species